AGAUUUUUGACCUCGGAGUACAGGCGGGGCCCCACCACCCGUGCGGCGCCCCUGGAUCUUCAGUCCACAACGCCGCUACUGUGGCCGGGGAGUAGAUGCCGUUAAAGAAAAGGCCUAGGAAGAGAAGUAGAAGGAAGCAGUGUGCAGACGUCCGGGUUCGAGUGGCUGGACGGUGCGUGGGGGCAACAAGUAGCUUGCACAGCGGCAAACUUCACAUUUUACGUUUUUAGCCAGUGUUCCAUAAUGACAAUAUAUUAAGCAGUAUAUGACUACAAGAAGUUGCCAUGGAGUCAUCAAAACCCAUAGAGGAUCCACCACAGUGGCUGAGUCAUAUGCACAUACCUGGUGUUCGGAUGCUGCUGCAGGGUGCUGGUCAGCAUGCAUUGGGAGGCUCCCAAAGUGAUCCCAUUUUCAUGGGGCAAGAGGUUGUCUGAAGAAUACUUUUUUUCAGACUACAAGUUUGAAAGCUGCCACUGCCACCUGUAAGUGCAGACCUCAAGCGUGGACCAUCUUGACUGCCUUUCUGAACCUCUGGGAUCACGCAGCAUCUGAGAUCCCCUCCUGUGCUAACUAGUCCAUGAUCCUCCCCAGCACCACCUGGGGAAAUGACCCUUUAUUUUCCCUUAAGAGGAGAAAGGCCCAAGGUCCAAACUCGAAGGAAGCAUGAGGCGGACUGAACCGGUUACAUGCAGCAGUGGAGCAUGAUAAUUUGGGGAAACACAGAUCCCUUCAUUCUGGGUUGAAGCUGAAAUGAAAGACAUGGAAUCUGCCCUAUAGAGACACUCGUAUAUGGGAACAAGUAUUUCAUCAACUCUAAGAUGCCCUAAACUGGAAAAUAUACUGUUGUUUUAUGUACCAUUAAGAAAGGAGGAGCUCCUGGGUGGCUCAGUUGGUUGACCGUUGGACUUCGGCUCAGAUGAGGACACUGAUGCACGGUGAGGUCACCUAAGUAAAUAGGAGAGACCGGAUUCAAAUGCAGAUUGUGUGAUUUGAGAAUCCAUGCCCUUGACACUACAGAGAGUAGGGUGCUCAAAAGGCCACUGGAGUAGGAGGGCCAUGACAGUGCCUGGCAUUUAGAACGGGGCCUCUCAAGAAUCACCCUCAAGAAGGCACUUAUCAGGACUCACAGAGCCCCUGCGUGAUGGUGGUUAAGGGUCCUAAUUUGACAUAUAGGAAAGAUCAGAUAGAACUAGGGCCGAUAGAGAGAUGAAAACUGGGGCCCAGGGGUGCUGGGGCCCCUGGCUGCCCCAAACCCUCCUGCUGAGAAGAUGGGUGGUUCUCCUGUCAGUUCUGUCAACAGUUGAACCCAGACAUACUGGACCAGGUAUGUGAGGGCAGUCUCUAAGGAGACUAAGCACAGAUGAUGAUGGUGUCUUCCCUUUGAGAGGAGGAAGGGAGAGUCUUAACAGAGGCAGCCACAGAACUCUGGGGUUGCAGUUCCUCUCUGGGCUAUCCUUAGGUCAAAGUGUUGGGGCCUGUAGGAAAGCUUACCCUGUGAGGCUGAAGAAAGACAAGGAAGUGGAGGAAGACAAUCUUCACUUAUAUGUCUGUUCAGCCAGGAACUGCCCGGCUUCAAAAUUCCUUUACUUGUAUACACUGUGAAAAAUAACGGGAAACUUCACUAAAAUGCAGUGUGGAGGUUCCGGCAGGGGGAGCUCUCCUACACCACCACGCAGCCGUCAAUUGCAGACCCAAGAGGAAGACGCGAGUUGACGGGGCUAGUGGAUACCACUCCACUACUCCAGCCAAAGGACGGUGCUUUCCUCGUCCCCGGGGCAACAGCUCAGCCAAUGAGAAGCCACCAUACUUGGAACUCCCAGUUUACCCCAAUGGACUUUUAGUUUGUAACAGCCUUCCCAACUGACUCCUUUUCUCCUUAAAAAAGCGUACCUCUCCUCUCUUCCCCGGACUUGCCUGUGGUUUUGGUGCAACUUUUUUGUCCCGGAUUACAGUUCUCUUUAAUUACUGAAUAAGCUCGUAAAAUAACUGGCAGUUUUAAUUUUUAAGGUUAAUAUUACUUGGUGGUCAGAGGUGGCAUCCGGAGAAGACCCCCACCCCCACCCCAGGGCUCCCGGGGCUAGUGAGCAAAUAGGUGCGGUACCCACGGAAAUGUUGCAGCUCACUGCUUUCUCGCCUUCUCUGGGGUUGGAGGAAAGGAGGUGCCCUUGCAGAAAGGAAGAUACAGACUUCCAAUGAAAAGUGCCUCAGAGUUUCUUCCUUCUAACCUUCCCUGUUAUUCCAGUGUGGCUUAAGUGACUUCCAACUGCUAUGCACUUUCCCUCCGACGUUAGACAUGACAACCAGGAAAGGUUCUUCUUGGAGCUGAAAAUAUAAAGAACCUGACUAUUGAUCAAUUAUGCUCUCAAGGAAAGAUCGAAAGGGUGAAAUGUGAGAAAUAAUAACUGGGAAACCUCACUAAAAUGGAGCCCGGAGGUUUCUGCAGAGGGACCUCUCACGCCCUACCACACAAAGUUAACUGUAGACCCAACAGGAAGAGAUGGACUUGACCUUACGUGGACUUGACCUUGCAUGUAGAUACACUCUACUACUCCAGCCAAAGGGAGAGAUUUUUUCCUCAUCCCCAGGCAACAGGUUAGCCAAUGAGAGCCCCCCAUACUUGGAACACCCAGUUUUCUCCAAUGGACUUUUAGUUUAUAACAGCCUUCCCCAGUUAUGCCUUUUCUCCUUAAAAGAGUCUACCUCUUUCCAUCGUUCCCCAGACUUGCCUUUGGUUUUGCCUCAGCUUGUUUGUCCCAGAUUGUUACUCUCUUUUAUUCCUGAAUAAAGCCAUCUUUGCUGGUAAAAUAAA